GACGAACGCUGGCGGCGUGCUUAACACAUGCAAGUCGAACGCUGAAGCUCAGCUUUUGUUGGGUGGAUGAGUGGCGAACGGGUGAGUAACACGUGAGUAACCUGCCCCCUUCUUUGGGAUAACGCCCGGAAACGGGUGCUAAUACUGGAUAUUCACUGGUCUUCGCAUAGGGGUUGGUGAAAAGGGUUUUUCUGGUGGGGGAUGGGCUCGCGGCCUAUCAGCUUGUUGGUGGGGGGAUGGCCUACCAAGGCUUUGACGGGUAGCCGGCCUGGGCGGGUGAACGGUCACAUUGGGACUGAGAUACGGCCCAGACUCCUACGGGAGGCAGCAGUGGGGAAAAUUGCCCAAUGGGCGAAAGACUGAUGCAGCGACGGUGCGUGAGGGAUGGAGGCCGUUGGGUUGUGAACCUCUUUCGCUAAUGGUCAAGCCGCAACAAUGGUUGUGGUGAGGGUAGUGGGUAAAGAAGCGCCGGCUAACUACGUG
rnacentral:rRNA from 1 species